rnacentral:rRNA from 1 species
UACGUAGGGUGCGAGCGUUAAUCGGAAUACUGGGCGUAAAGCGUGCGCAGGCGGUUCGUUAAGUCAGAUGUGAAAGCCCCGAGCUCAACUUGGGAACUGCAUUUGAAACUGGCGGGCUGGAGUGUGGCAGAGGGGGGUGGAAUUCCACGUGUAGCAGUGAAAUGCGUAGAGAUGUGGAGGAACACCGAUGGCGAAGGCAGCCCCCUGGGCCAACACUGACGCUCAGGCACGAAAGCGUGGGGAGCAAACAGG